AGUAACCUGACAAGUAUGACGCGUUUUAAUAAACUUGGCUAUAUCCCUGUUUAAGCGUGGCCAGAAAAAAAUAUGCAAGACCCUGUCAUAAGUUUACCAUGCACACAAAUGACCCGCCACAUCACCAUGCGAAGUCUGGAGGACUUUACCACGCAAGGAGGAAGGUACAGCUGUUUGGAAAACAGUUUCUCUCAAACCUUGGUCAUUAUGUGGAACAUUUUCUAACCAACAGUCCAUCAAGAAGAAAACAACAUUGAGAAUGAUCCCUUACUUGUAGGAAAUUAUUUUGUUCAGACAAGAAAAAUGUUUAAGGUGUUACCUGCUGACAGGUUCGACUCACGCCAGUCUUUUUCAGAUGCAUCAUCCGACGUGCUGAUUACGUGUCAUUUAUCGGCUGGCCGGCUCGGCAGACCUGUCAAAGUCCACCGAGCAGGCCCUCUCCCGCCUUUUGGUGGUCCUCGGAGAAGGGAAUCCCAGUGAUCUGUGAUAGCUGAUUUGCUACAUAUAAUUAGAAGACAUGAUGAAUCUCGUCGAAAUAAUGAUCCCUUACUGCUACUUCAGGAACCACACAAAAUGUCAACCAAAGAUGUCACUUUUUUGCUCUGCUAUUAGGGC